CAGGAUUUGGCAAUAGAUUGAACAUGAGGCUUGAAGGAGAGGUCGGAGUCAAAGAGAACACCUAGGCAGCGAGCCUGCGUGGUGGAGCUGAUGGUAGCACCGUUGACUUGGAGGGAGACAGACACAGGAGUAACAACACUUGAGGGAGGAAAGACCAAAAUUUCAGUUUUGGUCAAGUUUAGUUUAAGGAAGUGGGCAGCCAUCCAGUUAGAAACAGCAGAGAGGCAGUCAGAGACACUAGUCAAGAGGGACGGGGAGAGAUCAGGAGAGGACAGGUAGAUUUGCGUGUCAUCUGCAUAGAAAUGAUAUUGGAAGCCAAAGGAGCUAA